GACGAACGCUGGCGGCGUGCUUAACACAUGCAAGUCGAACGAAGUGGCGAACGGGUGAGUAACGCGUAAUCAACCUGCCCUUCAGCGGGGGACAACAGUUGGAAACGACUGCUAAUACCGCAUACUUAAGGAGGGGCUUGCGUCGGAUUAGCUAGUUGGAGGGGUAACGGCCCACCAAGGCGAUGAUCAGUAGCCUGUCUGAGAGGAGUAACGGCAACAAUGGGACUGCGAAACGGCCCAGACUCCUACGGGAGGCAGCAGUGGGGAUUCUUCCGCAAUGGACGAAAGUCUGACGGAGCAACGCCGGGUGAGUGAUGACGGCCUUCGGGUGGUAAAGCUCUGUUAAUCGGGACGCGGUACCGGAAUAGAAAGCCACGGCUAACUACGUGCCAGCAGCCGCGGUAAUUC
rnacentral:rRNA from 1 species